AAGUAUAACCAGGUAAGAGUCCACUACUUGAGCAUCAAUGAUAGCCUACAUGGAUGCAGGGGUCUCCUUCCCAGGGUACCAAGGGCUUACCACUGAGGAGAGGAGCCCACGCAGGGCGUAUCGUGUGGAGAUUGGUCCUGGCGACUGUGUUAUAGGAAUUGAGAAGCACCCUUGACAAAAAAAAAAUGGCUUGUGACAGGCGUUGCAUGCGCAAUGAACGGUUUGCGGUUGAUUCCAGUACAGUAUAAAAUGAGUCCGCAUCAUUCCCUGACAUCUUCCUUCAAUAGAGGGCUGAAAUCUCAGUUCCCUGCUAUCAUCAGAUUUGGACGGAGGAGCCUCUAUCUGAGCCAGGCUACUGUGGAAAGAGGAUUGUUGACCCUCCCUACCCACCCUGCUCAUUCCCUGAGGACCCACCCUGUUGCUGGUUGGGUGUCGCUCCCCGCUCUGCCUGGUGGUGGCCCUCGGGAGCUUUGAGCGCAUAGAGAGUGCAAUAGUGCAGCAGCCAUGACGAACGCAGUGAUGGGCGGUAGCUCGGACCGCUGGGUGCCCAACGAUAGGCAGAUGAGCAUGCAUGCCAAGUAAGCACGGGUGGCAGAACA